GGUUCCAUGGUGUAGUGGUUAUCACGCCUGUUUUACACGCAGGAGGUCCCCGGUUCAAGCCCGGGUGGAAUCG
rfam:Stegodyphus mimosarum contig108654, whole genome shotgun sequence.